AUGCAAGUCGAACGAUGAAGAAAAGAAUUGAAGCUUCGGCAGAAAUUCAUUUCGGAUUAGUGGCAGACGGGUGAGUAACGCGUGAGCAACCUACCUCUUACAAAGGGAUAGCCUCGGGAAACCGGGAUUAAUACCAUAUAACAUUGCGACGAAGCAUUUCGAUGCAAUCAAAGCUACGGCGGUAAGAGAUGGGCUCGCGUCCCAUUAACCAGAUGGUGAGGUAACGGCUCACCACAGUAACGAUGGGUAACCGGCCUGAGAGGGUGAACGGUCACACUGGAACUGAGACACGGUCCAGACUCCUACGGGAGGCAGCAGUGGGGAAUAUUGCACAAUGGAGGGAACUCUGAUGCAGCGACGCCGCGUGAGUGAUGAAGGAAUUCGUUUCGUAAAACUCUGUUCUAUGGGAAGAAAAGGACUGUACCAUAGGAGAAAGCUCCGGCUAAAUACGUGCCAGCAGCCGCGGUAAUACGUAUGGAGCGAGCGUUGUCCGGAAUUAUUGGGCGUAAAGGGUGCGCAGGCGGCUUUACAAGUUGGAUGUGAAAUAUUGUGGCUCAACCACAAACGUGCAUCCAAAACUGCAAAGCUUGAGUUAAGGAGAGGUAAGUGGAAUUCCUGGUGUAGCGGUGGAAUGCGUAGAUAUCAGGAGGAAUACCGGUGGCGAAGGCGACUUACUGGACUUAAACUGACGCUCAGGCACGAAAGCGUGGGGAGCAAACAGGAUUAGAUACCCUGGUAGUCCACGCCGU
rnacentral:rRNA from 1 species